UUAAGUUAAUAAGGGCGCACGGUGGAUGCCUUGGCACUAGGAGCCGACGAAGGACGUGACAAACGACGAUAUGCCUUGGGUAGCUGUAAGUAAGCGAUGAUCCAGGGAUUUCCGAAUGGGGGAACCCAACAGGUAAUACCUGUUACCCACAUCUGUUAAGGAUGUGAGGAGGAAGACGCAGUGAACUGAAACAUCUAAGUAGCUGCAGGAAGAGAAAGCAAAAGCGAUUGCCUUAGUAGCGGCGAGCGAAACGGCAGAAGGGCAAACCGAAGAGUUUACUCUUCGGGGUUGUAGGACUGCAAUGUGGACUCAAAGAUUAUAGAAGAAUGAUUUGGGAAGAUCAGCCAAAGAGAGUAAUAGCCUCGUAUUUAAAAUAGUCUUUGUACUUAGCAGUAUCCUGAGUACGGCGGGACACGUGAAAUCCCGUCGGAAUCUGGGAGGACCAUCUCCCAACCCUAAAUACUCCCUAGUGACCGAUAGUGAACCAGUACCGUGAGGGAAAGGUGAAAAGCACCCCGGGAGGGGAGUGAAAUAGAACCUGAAACCGUGUGCCUACAACAAGUUCGAGCCCGUUAAUGGGUGAGAGCAUGCCUUUUGUAGAAUGAACCGGCGAGUUACGUUAUGAUGCGAGGUUAAGUUGAAGAGACGGAGCCGUAGGGAAACCGAGUCUGAAUAGGGCGCCUUAGUAUCAUGACGUAGACCCGAAACCAUGUGACCUACCCAUGAGCAGGUUGAAGGUGCGGUAAGACGCACUGGAGGACCGAACCAGGGCACGUUGAAAAGUGCUUGGAUGACUUGUGGGUAGCGGAGAAAUUCCAAACGAACUUGGAGAUAGCUGGUUCUCUCCGAAAUAGCUUUAGGGCUAGCGUCGACAUUAAGAUUCUUGGAGGUAGAGCACUGUUUGGGUGAGGGGUCCAUCCCGGAUUACCAAUCUCAGAUAAACUCCGAAUGCCAAUGAAUUAUGGUCGGCAGUCAGACUGCGAGUGCUAAGAUCCGUAGUCGAAAGGGAAACAGCCCAGACCACCAGCUAAGGUCCCAAAAUAAUUGUUAAGUGGAAAAGGAUGUGGGGUUGCACAGACAACUAGGAUGUUAGCUUAGAAGCAGCUAUUCAUUCAAAGAGUGCGUAAUAGCUCACUAGUCGAGUGACCCUGCGCCGAAAAUGUACCGGGGCUAAAACAAUUUACCGAAGCUGUGGAUACCUUUAUAGGUAUGGUAGGAGAGCGUUCUAUGUGUGAAGAAGGUAUACCGUGAGGAGUGCUGGAACGCAUAGAAGUGAGAAUGCCGGUAUGAGUAGCGAAAGACAGGUGAGAAUCCUGUCCACCGUAAGACUAAGGUUUCCAGGGGAAGGCUCGUCCGCCCUGGGUUAGUCGGGACCUAAGGAGAGACCGAAAGGUGUAUCCGAUGGACAACAGGUUGAUAUUCCUGUACUAGAGUAUGUAGUGAUGGAGGGACGCAGUAGGCUAACUAAAGCAGACGAUUGGAAGUGUCUGUCUAAGCAGUGAGGUGUGAAUUGAGUUAAAUGCUUAGUUCUAUAACAUUGAGCUGUGAUGGGGAGCGAAGUUUAGUAGCGAAGUUAGUGACGUCACACUGCCAAGAAAAGCUUCUAGCGUUUAAACAUACUCUACCCGUACCGCAAACCGACACAGGUAGUCGAGGCGAGUAGCCUCAGGUGAGCGAGAGAACUCUCGUUAAGGAACUCGGCAAAAUGACCCCGUAACUUCGGGAGAAGGGGUGCUGACUUUAAGUCAGCCGCAGUGAAUAGGCCCAAGCAACUGUUUAUCAAAAACACAGCUCUCUGCUAAAUCGUAAGAUGAUGUAUAGGGGGUGACGCCUGCCCGGUGCUGGAAGGUUAAGAGGAGUGCUUAGCGCAAGCGAAGGUAUGAAUUGAAGCCCCAGUAAACGGCGGCCGUAACUAUAACGGUCCUAAGGUAGCGAAAUUCCUUGUCGGGUAAGUUCCGACCCGCACGAAAGGCGUAAUGAUUUGGGCACUGUCUCAACGAGAGACUCGGUGAAAUUUUAGUACCUGUGAAGAUGCAGGUUACCCGCGACAGGACGGAAAGACCCCAUGGAGCUUUACUGCAGUUUGAUAUUG
rnacentral:rRNA from 1 species